AAUUUCCACCAGGACUCUAACCAGGACCAAUGAUCUGAAAA
rnacentral:tRNA from 1 species